rnacentral:rRNA from 1 species
UAGGGAAUCUUCCGCAAUGGACGAAAGUCUGACGGAGCAACGCCGCGUGAGUGAAGAAGGAUUUCGGUUCGUAAAACUCUGUUGUUAGGGAAGAAAAAAUGUAUAGUAACUAUAUACAAAAGAGACGGUACCUAACCAGAAAGCCACGGCUAACUACGUGCCAGCAGCCGCGGUAAUACGUAGGUGGCAAGCGUUGUCCGGAAUUAUUGGGCGUAAAGCGCGCGCAGGUGGUUUAGAAAGUCUGAUGUGAAAGCCCACGGCUCACCCGUGGAGGGUCAUUGGAAACUAAUAAACUUGAGUGCAGGAGAGAAAAGUGGAAUUCCUAGUGUAGCGGUGAAAUGCAUAGAGAGUAGGAGGAACACCGGUGGCGAAAGCGGCUUUUUGGCCUGCAACUGACACUGAGGCGCGAAAGCGUGGGGAGCAAACAGG